GCCGGCGUGGCGCAAUGGUAGCGCGCCAGACUUCUAGCAUUUAUGCAAACUGAGAUAUCUGGAGGCUGCGGGUUCGAGCCCCGCCGUUGGUA
rfam:Fungal sp. No.11243 DNA, scaffold: sccafold0009.